AUGGUGGGCUUCUGCGACCCUGGAGCGCAGUUGAAGACCUGCCUUUGGUGUGUUUCAGACUCCAGCCUCCCUCCUCCAGUCCUGACCGUCUCCCUCCAUCCCGGGCUGAGCUCCAGUCCAACAAAGCCCAUCUGGCCUGUCUGUCCAGUCAGUCGGUGCCUUUUGCAGAUGUGACCUGUUUAGCUGGAGGGAGUCCAGUGAGCAGUGGGGUCUCUAUUAGCACCGCUGUUUAACAACCGGACCAGACUUUCCACAUCAGCAGCUAUCUGGACCUCCAGACGGCCGACUGGAACGUGGAUACGGUUUACACAUGUAAAGUGUCUUUGGGCGACCAGACUUCAGAGAAAAACAUCAGGAAGUUCGACUGUCCCACUGACCAACUGUAGAGGAGCAGUAUGACCAUUUAACACCUGCUGCUUUACUCUUUGUGCUGUUUAUUCAUCACACGCUUUACUUUUUAGAAAAUGUUUCAGCAUGCUUGUAAUACAUGUCGUCAUGGUCAAGUGGAGGUGUUAUUUUUAUUUUCAGUUUCUUAUGGAUGGGAUUUAUUGACAAAGGUUUUUCAUUAUUUUCAUUAUAUCAUUUAGCUUACACCUUUUUAAGCAUAAAGAAAAACAAUUUAUUGCAGGAUAUCAUGUUUGCUCUGCAUGGAGGGGCACCAUUCACAAUAAGAGAUAAACUGAGUGUUAUUGACAAAUCAUUCAUUAUUAAAACUUCAGUGUCACAGACAGUUCCCUCUUAUUUUACAAAGAGCUGACACUCGACCUCUGCAUUUACAUGCAGCUAUACAUAAGUAGAGGAGGCCUGCAGGUGCAUCCUAGGAAGGAAGGGAGGAGGAGAGAAGGUGAUGCUUCACUGAUGACGGAUGAAAACGUGGUUUCAUUUGCCAAUCUUAUCUAAUUUAUCUAACAUCCUUACGAUUGCAAUCCAGAUUUUUUAAAUAGUAAUCGGGUUUAAUGACAAACACGUCACCAGCAUUGUUAUACAUUGUUAUUGUCACUUUGUCAUGAUGGUUGGUUACCUACUUAUACGUGAACUUUCAGUGUGUAUUGUAUUGAGUGAAUUUUGCAGCUGUCCCAAAUAAACAAUAUUUGGAAGUGUUGAACGAAUGAAUGUUGAUACAAUGUUUUCAAAACAGCCUAUUUAAUUGUUUUGGUUGUGGUGAAGAGGAACAAGAAAAUGAUGAAGGAAUUGUUUUGUUCUCCAAAAUCCAUCAUAAUGUAAUACGCUUUUCUUUAAUAUUGCUCAUGCUGUCUAUUUUUAAAUUUGUUAUUAUACUUUUAUUAUUUUUACUAUAACAGGCUAAUCUGGAUACAGAUAUACUUUCAUGAAGCAAUUUGACAGUAUAUGUAUUGUAAAAGAAUAUAAAAUGAAAAAUGUUGUAUUUCAUUGAAAGUAUGGGCAGCUGGCAGCAGGCGGUCCGACUCCGGCUCCCUCUGUGCACAUCGCUCUCCUUUAAUCUCCGAGCAAUUUGUUCCCAAUUGUUGGGCCACAAUUGGAAUGUGUGUGUGAAUGAGGAGCAAAAAGAAAAGCACUUUGUCCUACCAUGGUUGAAAAAUGCCCAAUGCAGUUCAUUUACAAAGUAUUAGAUGUCGAUCAGCUUGAAACUCAUCUGUUUUUAAUCAUCAUUUGGGUAAGUAACUCCAACAUGAAAAAUGCUCACACAAAGUUAAUUAAUGUGUGUGUGUAUAUAUAUAUAUAUAUACAGUAUAUACGUACACACACAUAUAUAUAUAUACAUACACACAUGUAUAUAAACACAUGUGUGUGUAUGUAUAUAUAUAUAUUAAAUCAAAACACUAGACUACCAUUUCAGCCAUUAUGAUACUUAAUGUCCAGCUAUCAACACACAGAGAGCAGCAUGCUGACAGUGGAGAUAUUGAUUUAAGCUGCCACCUUGUGGUUAAAAGGGACUUUUUCAAGAUUUUUUUGGAGAUUUAAAAAUCAUCUUUUCGACAAAAUGCAUGAGCACGUGACUUAUUCACACAUUUUACUCCUCAAUAAAACGAUACAAAAUAA